GCCAGUCCAUCAAACUCCUCCGACCGGCCCAAUCCCCACGUCACGACCUUCCCAACCACCCCACCUCCCGCACCACCUCUGCCCCAUCAAUCCUCCGGUGCACCUCCUGUCGCCGGCCCCAGCACGCCACCCGCCGCUGACCAACCCCCUCCCCGGCCCGACGCGGCCUCCCCAAACCUCCCGCCGCCACCCGCGCCCACCCCAGAUUCCCUGCCUAGCCGGUUCACGCUGCGGCCGCCGCAAGGCUCCACGGAUCCCGGCGGCGCCCUCCCUUCGGUGUGCUCCUUGAUCCCGCCAUCACGUCCUGGAUCCGGCUGCCCCGGACCCCGCCAGAUCCGGUAGAAGUUCCCGCCUACUCUCGGCUGCUGCCAGGGAAGGACAUUGCCACCGCGCCACUUCGUCCUUUUGACGUUGCAGUGCGCAAGCCGUUCACCUUCGUCGCCCAUGGAAUAAAUGUGCCUUCUACGGCUCCGCCCAAAAUCACGCCCGUGCCAUGGGUGUGGCCGUAGCUGAGGUGCAGCUCGCCGUUGCCCGACUCCUAGCUAAGCAGGCAGAGGGGACAGAUAAAAUGCUGGGAGGAUUGGGGCAGGACCGCAGGAGGUAGCAGCAAGCCUUAAGGAGUUGGAGGCACAUUACUACUCAUCAAUUGUCGGUACUCUGCUCUAUGAUUGAGGUGCUUUUCCACGCAUCUGAAAUUCCUCCGGCAACACUCCCCAACAGCUUGUUUCCCCAUUGUUGUGGAUCAACGAGGAUACAAUGUGCUUCUCCUGCUCGCUUGGGUCAAUGGGUGAUUCGGCUGCUGAAGUUGACUAGUAAUUAUCUACUAAAUUUUCCAAGGACAAUCUCGCUUCUACAUUUUCAUAUAUACCAGCUUUUGUUAUUUACAUAUCAGAUGCUCUGACUAAAUCAUCUUGUGUGUUCAGAGACUACAAAUUCUGCUAUGUAGCUUCAGCAGAAUUAGGUGAUGAAAAUGUUGCUCCUCCUAUGGAUUGCUAAUUCCACACUUUUGUCUGCAUUUAUGAAUAAUGCAUAUCCAGUACCAUGCUCUAAUGAUUUUUCAUCAA